rnacentral:rRNA from 1 species
AUUGAACGCUGGCGGCAGGCUUAACACAUGCAAGUCGAGCGGGGGAAGGUAGCUUGCUACCGGACCUAGCGGCGGACGGGUGAGUAAUGCUUAGGAAUCUGCCUAUUAGUGGGGGACAACAUCUCGAAAGGGAUGCUAAUACCGCAUACGUCCUACGGGAGAAAGCAGGGGAUCUUCGGACCUUGCGCUAAUAGAUGAGCCUAAGUCGGAUUAGCUAGUUGGUGGGGGAAAGGCCUACCAAGGCGAAGAUCUGUAGCGGGUCUGAGAGGAUGAUCCGCCACACUGGGACUGAGACACGGCCCAGACUCCUACGGGAGGCAGCAGUGGGGAAUAUUGGACAAUGGGGGGAACCCUGAUCCAGCCAUGCCGCGUGUGUGAAGAAGGCCUUAUGGUUGUAAAGCACUUUAAGCGAGGAGGAGGCUACUCUAGUUAAUACCUAGGGAUAGUGGACGUUACUCGCGGAAUAAGCACCGGCUAACUCUGUGCCAGCCGCCGCCGUAA